rnacentral:rRNA from 1 species
UACGGGGGGGGCAAGCGUUGUUCGGAAUUACUGGGCGUAAAGGGCUCGUAGGCGGCCAACUAAGUCAGACGUGAAAUCCCCAGGCUCAACCUGGGAACUGCGUCUGAUACUGGAUGGCUUGAAUCCGGGAGAGGGAUGCAGAAUUCCUGGUGUAGCGGUAAAAUGCGCAGAUAUCAGGAGGAACACCGGUGGCGAAGGCGGGAUCCUGGGCCAGUACUGACGCUGAGGAGCGAAAGCGUGGGGAGCAAACAGG